rnacentral:rRNA from 1 species
AUUGAACGCUGGCGGCAUGCCUUACACAUGCAAGUCGAACGGCAGCGGGGACUUCGGUCCGCCGGCGAGUGGCGAACGGGUGAGUAAUGUAUCGGAACGUACCUUUCAGUGGGGGAUAACGUAGCGAAAGUUACGCUAAUACCGCAUAUUCUCUGAGGAGGAAAGCAGGGGACCUUCGGGCCUUGUGCUGAUGGAGCGGCCGAUAUCAGAUUAGCUAGUUGGUGAGGUAAAGGCUCACCAAGGCGACGAUCUGUAGCGGGUCUGAGAGGAUGAUCCGCCACACUGGGACGGAGACACGGCCCAGACUCCUACGGGGGGCAGCAGUGGGGAAUUUUGGACAAUGGGCGCAAGCCUGAUCCAGCCAUGCCGCGUGAGUGAAGAAGGCCUUCGGGUUGUAAAGCUCUUUCGGACGGGAAGAAAUUGGUGGGGCUAAUAUCCCCAUCGGAUGACGGUACCGUAAUAAGAAGCACCGGCUAACUACGUGCCAGCAGCCGCCGUAAUAC